GCCCAAUGAUGAAACCAAGGCGAAUAUGAGCUGACUGAACAGCAGCUGGGUUCUUUUUGCCUCAAAUGACGGGUAAUCUUGGCAGUGUAAGGGAGAAUUCUUGCUCUGCUGUAAGGGCCCGCCUACAGUAACCUGGCUGCACCAUCAUUUCUCCUUUGGAAGUUUCAUUGGAGUAAUCAUGUGGAUGAAGCCCAUAGUGUGCGUGCGUGCGUGCGUGCGUGCGUGCGUACGUGCGUGCAUGUGUGAGUGUGCAUGUGGAGAGGCCUAAAGUUCACCCAACUGUUUCCACUGUUCAGUUAGCAAUGAGUUGCUUCUUUGGUAAUCUGAGGGCC